rnacentral:rRNA from 1 species
AACGAACGCUGGCGGCAUGCCUAACACAUGCAAGUCGAACGAGAUCUUCGGGUCUAGUGGCGCACGGGUGCGUAACGCGUGGGAACCUGCCCUUUGGUUCGGAAUAACAGUUGGAAACGACUGCUAAUCCCGGAUGAUGACGAAAGUCCAAAGAUUUAUCGCCAGAGGAUGAGCCCGCGUAGGAUUAGCUAGUUGGUGUGGUAAAGGCGCACCAAGGCGACGAUCCUUAGCUGGUCUGAGAGGAUGAUCAGCCACACUGGGACUGAGACACGGCCCAGACUCCUACGGGAGGCAGCAGUGGGGAAUAUUGGACAAUGGGCGAAAGCCUGAUCCAGCAAUGCCGCGUGAGUGAUGAAGGCCUUAGGGUUGUAAAGCUCUUUUACCCGGGAUGAUAAUGACAGUACCGGGAGAAUAAGCUCCGGCUAACUCCGUGCCAGCCGCCGCUGUAA